UGCUAUUAUUUCGUCCCUGAUAAUAUACUGAAAAUGUGUAAUACGUAGUAUCCACAAGUGUUAUAGCAGUUGUGUGUGUCAGUCGUGAAAUAGUAUUUUAAAAUAACAUAAAAUGUGAAAUUUCUCUAAAAAUUUCCAAGAAUUUGUUUUUUAAACUUUUCUAUAAAAAUCCGAUAAAUCAAAUAAUGAGUUCAAUAAACUUCUAGCGGAACUCUGAUUUUUCGUCAUAUCCUAUUACUUAUCUUUAUAGUCAAUCGUCGUGUAUACAGAAAUUAGGGCGUGAAAAGGUUCGUUUAGUUCAAUUGGAAUUUAUAAAAAUUUAAAAAGAAAGUACAUAUAAAAUUAAAAAAUAUAUGUAAAAAUAAAUUAUAAAAAGCCGAGUGAACAAGUUACUUGAGAUUAUACAUUAUUAUUAAAUUUUAAAUAUUAUAUCUUUGAUUGAUUAUAUCUGGUUAUAUGAUGUUUUCUGCAUUCUUCUUUUUUUAACUAUAAAACAUAUUUUAGCAACAUGCUAUUGUUUUACAAGGAAUAAAUAUAUAAAAAAUUUUAUUGAAUCAUAAUAUGUAAUAACCAAACAUGACUGGUUCACAAAUAAUUCGGCACAUCUCUAAUUGUUUCCUGGAGAUUAUACGAUUAUUCAUGAAUAUUUUAUAAUCAUAAUGAUUCGUAAUCAUAAAAUUAUAAUAAUGACAUUGAUCAAUAAUUUUAAGAUAACUUGUGAAAACCAGGUUUUUUAUGGACCUAACAUUGAAGCAGUAAAAAAUGUCUAGAAAGCGUGCUAGAGAAGAAACUAUGUUGAAUUCUACAUCAUAUUCAAAUAUUCAAAAUGGAGAAGAUGCAUCUUGCUCCAGGGAAGAUUCACCUAUAUAUCCUCUAGUGACAAUGACUUGGAGAAGCAACAGGAAUUCACAUAAUGAAUCAGGUCAAAUUUCACUGAAAAAGUAUAAUAGUGAAAUUUCUAUUUACCACAAAGAACUUCCAUCAAUUUGCAAGGAAGCACCUUUUAGUGAUGAUCCAGAAGCACUUGCUGAAAGAAAUGCCUGUGAUUAUAACAUUCGCAUUACAUUAAAAAUGGCAAAAAGUGGUAAAGCUCCUAGAAAAAUCAGAGUCUAUGCAGAUGGUAUUUAUGAUCUAUUUCAUCAAGGACAUGCACGGCAACUUUUACAAGCAAAAAAUAUUUUCCCUAAUGUAUAUCUUAUUGUAGGAGUUUGUAAUGAUCAGUUAACACAUAGUAAAAAAGGAAGAACAGUUAUGACAGAUGUUGAAAGAUAUGAUGCAGUAAGACAUUGUCGUUACGUAGAUGAAGUGGUUAGAGAUGCACCUUGGGAACUGGAUGAUGAAUUUCUUAUAAAACAUAAAAUCGAUUUUGUUGCUCAUGAUGAUAUACCUUAUAUGACAGAUGAUAGCACAGAUGUUUAUGCUGCCUUAAAGGCUAAAGGUAUGUUUGUAGCUACACAAAGAACAGAAGGAGUAUCAACAUCCGAUAUUGUUGCAAGAAUAGUUAAAGAUUAUGAUAUUUAUGUAAGAAGAAAUCUUGCGCGAGGCUAUAGUGCAAAAGAACUUAAUGUUUCUUUUCUCAAUGAAAAGAAAUUUCGUUUACAAAAUAAAUUUGAUGAUUUAAAAGAUAAAGGUAAAAGAGUAAUGGAGAAUAUUGGUGAAAAACGUAUGGAUAUGAUUAGCAAAUGGGAAGAAAAAUCUCGAGAUUUUAUCGAUGCUUUUCUACUUUUAUUUGGAAGAGAAGGUAGAUUGUCAACAAUUUGGAAUGAAAGUAAAGGUCGUUUAAUGCAAGCAUUAUCUCCUCCUGCAAGUCCAAAAAGAGAUGGCAGUCCAAAUGGCAGUAAUAGCAGCAAUAAUGAUGAAGAUCAGACAAGGUACAUCACAGCAUUCGAGUCAAUUGACUAAUAUGCAACACCACUUCAUUCUGUACUGCUUCUAUAUGAAAACCUUCAAUACUUCACACCACCCAUUUGCAGCAUGUUAUUCCACCACCGAAAAAGACUGGCCGUUUUGAAUAUUCGCAGAGUAAUUAUUAUUUAAGCGAUGAUUAUAGCGACGAUGAAGAAGAAAAUUUGCACUCCAAAUGAUAACCUCUUUUUUCAAAAUCACAUUCAUUUUGACCAAAAAUAUCGUGCAAUCUCUUUAAAAAUGUUUAAAAAUAAUUUUAUGCAUCUAUGUGAUUUAUUAAUAUGGAUUAUAAUGUUAUGCUUAAUAAUUUUUUUAUGCUAUGAUUUCAUACUACAUACGAUAUAAAAUUAUUUGUUGUAAUAAUUUCAUUCAAUCCAAUCAUGCAUUAUUAUAUAUUAAUUAGAUUAUAUAUAUGCAUGAACAUUACAGAAGUCAUAUAGAUUACUUAAGUCGUUAUAACUAUUCUUGAGAGUUUCAUUAUCAUAUCGUUAUUUAUAUUAUUAAUAAGUUCCUAAAAUCUGGUUUUGAAUGAUAUUAUUGUUCAU